rnacentral:ncRNA from 1 species
CGUUCCAAUCGCCACACCCGCCGCGAGGCGGGGUCGGAAAGCUUCGGGUCUCGACGCCGAGAAGCGUUCGAGAUGGCCGGGCCGCCUCC